rnacentral:tRNA from 1 species
GUCCCUGUCGAUUAGUGGUUAAAUCGCCACGUUGUGGAAGCACAAUACCGUGGCGCCGCAGGUUCAAUUCCUGCCAGGGACA